AUGUGAAGCAUUAAAUUUCCAUCCAACAAAAUCACAGAAGAAAGUCUUAAAGAGGAUGCAUAAAUUUUUGGCUUUUGGUAAAACAAAAGAUGACAGUGUGAGUUUCGUCCUCAUCAUAGAAUGAAAUGAUCUUUAUUUUCUAGUGCUUACACUCUUAAUUGAUGUCAAUGUAGGCUUCUAAUGAAUCUGAAAUGGAAUCUGCCAAGAGUGAUUCUCAUUUUGAAUACCCGGAUGACAUGCGUAUGAAGGACGCUGUUUGCAAGGCAGAAAAAAAUUUGAAAGACAAACAGUUAGAGGAAGAAUGCAGCCCAGGGAAUGUUGACGAAUUUUCUCAAAAAGAACAGAAUUUGAUGAAUCAAGAAUCUCUCAAUAAAAAUGUACCUGUUAAAUCAGAUUUAAAUAAAAGUAAAUGAAUUUAAAUUUGAUAUUUUUUAAUUCCUGC
rnacentral:lncRNA from 1 species